CUGGCAAGAGCCUGUUUGAACCGUCAGUUGUGAAAGCCUUAGACGAUUGGAAUGUUGAGGAAACGUCGUAUUGCGAUUGUCCACAAGGUCGAGACCCGAAUGAUCAAGGAGGGCCAUAUAGUCCCAAUUGUUCGCUAUUCACGGAUAUGGGUUGUAGGAAAUAUUUAGAAACUAAAUAUAAUAAAUGCGUUAUAAUAAAACGAAGGGAUGUACACAGCUCAAAGCGUAUACGAGAAAUUGACCGGAUAAGCAACACCUUACCAAUCGUUCAACAAGAGCCACGCAUUUUAAAGCAGCGUUCAAGUUUGGAUGUCACCAUCAGCGAAGACGAAGCGAGACAUUAUUGCACCUCAGUUAUAGAGGAAACGUCAGCAGCAACACUGGGAUUAUUUGAAUUUGCAAGUGAAAAUAUGACAGCCGUAAUUUCUGACUGCACAUUUGAUGUUCAUAUGGGCAAUGAUUACACUUUAUCGAGACCUCACGUUGAAUCCGUAAACAUCGUGGUUCGUUAUAUGCUAGAAAAAGACCC